UGCAAUUACUAUCAGCUCCUUUUGCAUGUUGCCACGGUUACUCACCUGAGAGUAGUAAUCAACCCUGCUGCUAAUCAGUGCUGCCUAUUUAAGCAGCAAAUCCCAGAACCUCCUUGCCCUUGCGUGGUUUCCUGUCCCCCAGAAGUCUCCUUGUUCCUGUGUUUCCUGUUUGCUCCUGGUUCCUGACUCCGGCCUUGUUCCUGACUCCGCUGCUCUCCG